rnacentral:rRNA from 1 species
UACAGAGGUCCCGAGCGUUGUUCGGAUUUACUGGGCGUAAAGGGCGCGUAGGCGGCAAUUCAAGUCAUCUGUGAAAUCUCCGGGCUUAACUCGGAACGGUCAGAUGAUACUGUUUUGCUAGAGUGCAGAAGGGGCAAUCGGAAUUCUUGGUGUAGCGGUGAAAUGCGUAGAUAUCAAGAGGAACACCUGAGGUGAAGACGGGUUGCUGGGCUGACACUGACGCUGAGGCGCGAAAGCCAGGGGAGCAAACGGG